GAGAUUUAACAUUUAUGUUAACUUCUGACAUUAUUCCUGUGAGACAGUCCACUCUAUCUUCUGCAGCCAUUAAAAGGUAUAGCUGCAGAAAGCUGGCUUCCACGGAGUCACUGGCUUUUUAAAUUGGUGUGUCAGAAAUAGUUUAUAUUUUAACAUCAUUUUUCUCACUUGAAGUCUUAUCGCAAGUCUUGAGUCCCCAAAGUCUGAGUACCUGAUGCUCUCUCCAUGUGAGAAAAAUCAGUUCCAUUUUUCAUCCCUGUCUGAAAACUCCAUGGAUUAUUCCAUCUUUAUAGCUAUGUAGGAGGAAGCCUGUCUCCACCGGCCCUGCCUAGCCACACCAGGAAUCUCAGUCAGUGCCAUUCCAGGAUGAGCUGCUCUUGAUGUGUUGGAGAUAGGAAAUAAGUUUGGAAAAAUUCAGCCUACUGACAGAAGCGAGGAGUGUCUUGCCCAGAGAGGGGAAGGAAGCAUGGUGGAAACCAGGCAGAAGCGUUUUCUGUUAUAAGGCAAAAAGAAACAAGCAAGAAGUUGGAGAAGGCAAAGAUAAGAGCAAAUGAGAGUGAGUCACUAUGAAUCAGUCUUGUGUGUUCUCUUUGCACACUAGCCACCUCAUCAAGACCAUUAAGUGCGUAUAUCUCACAUGGAAUUCUUUGUCUAUAGAAUGUUAUUCACCAUGUCAAGAGCUUUGUUUUAUUUUUGCAAAGAGAAUUGUAGUUCCAUUCAACUGCAUUAAAUGUUCUUUGUCUUCACCCUGAUGUCAGCAGUGUGUUUUUGAGAACCAUGUUUUGAAGCACUUGAUUUAGUCUCAGAAGACGAGUCAAAAUGGCAUGUUCCUUGGGAAUUAAGACAAACUGUCAAGUCCUUAAAUAAGUAGCCUUACGAGAAAUGUACAGCUUCCUUGUGAGACCGUUGAGGAAAAAGGAUAGACAAGGACAUUGAGGAAAGAAGGUCAGAGAAGUUGCUUCUUGCAAAAGUUUCUACUGGGGCUGAGGAACUCGAACUGC